CUCAAUGAAAUUUCAAUAGCCGCAAAUAUUUUGUGCUAAGGUAGCAUAAUCAUUUGUCUUUUAAUUAAAGACUAGAAUAAAAGAUUCAAUAUUUUUAUUUCUUUCUUAUCUAUUUAAAUUUAAUUUAUCUUAAACAUAAAAAGAUAUUUAUAAAAUAAAAAGACGACAAGACCCUAUUGAACUUAACUAAAGUUUAACUGGGGUAGUUAAUUAAAUAUAAUUUUAAUUAAAACAUUAUAAAUUUCUAAUACAAUUAAUAUAAUCAAGUUACCAUAGGGAUAACAGCGUAAUAAUUUUCUAUAGUUCUCAUUUAAAAAAUAUUUUGCGACCUCGAUGUUGAAUUAAUAAUCUAUUAAAUGCAAUAAUUAAUAAGAAAGUC
rnacentral:rRNA from 1 species